UAGGGAAUAUUGGACAAUGGGCGCAAGCCUGAUCCAGCCAUGCCGCGUGAGUGAAGAAGGCCCUCGGGUUGUAAAGCUCCUUUGUCCGGAAAGAAAAGCUUUGGGUUAAUACCCCGAAGUCCUGACGGUACCGGAAGAAUAAGCACCGGCUAACUUCGUGCCAGCAGCCGCGGUAAUACGAAGGGUGCAAGCGUUACUCGGAAUUACUGGGCGUAAAGCGUGCGUAGGUGGUUCGUUAAGUCUGAUGUGAAAGCCCUGGGCUCAACCUGGGAAUGGCAUUGGAUACUGGCGGGCUAGAGUGCGGUAGAGGGCAGUGGAAUUCCCGGUGUAGCAGUGAAAUGCGUAGAGAUCGGGAGGAACAUCUGUGGCGAAGGCGACUGCCUGGACCAGCACUGACACUGAGGCACGAAAGCGUGGGGAGCAAACAGG
rnacentral:rRNA from 1 species